GGAUGAACGCUGGCGGCGUGCCUAAUACAUGCAAGUCGAGCGAACAGAUGAGGAGCUUGCUCCUCUGACGUUAGCGGCGGACGGGUGAGUAACACGUGGAUAACCUACCUAUAAGACUGGGAUAACUUCGGGAAACCGGAGCUAAUACCGGAUAAUAUAUUGAACCGCAUGGUUCAAUAGUGAAAGACGGUUUUGCUGUCACUUAUAGAUGGAUCCGCGCCGCAUUAGCUAGUUGGUAAGGUAACGGCUUACCAAGGCAACGAUGCGUAGCCGACCUGAGAGGUGGUUCGCCCAACCUGGACUUGAGAAACGUCCCAACUCCUUAGGGGAGGCACAGUAAGGAAUUCUCCCGCAUGGGCCGAAACCUUGCCGGACCACGGCGGGUUGGGUGAGGAAGUUUUCCGGUCCGUAAACCUUUGUUAUUGGGAAAGACCAAAUGUGUAGUUACUAUGCACGUCUUGACGGUACCUAAUCAGAAAGCCACGGCUAACUACGUG
rnacentral:rRNA from 1 species